rnacentral:tRNA from 1 species
GGGUUGAUACCUCGUAGAGAGGAACAGCGGACUCAUAAUCCGCUGGCCGUGGGUUCGAGUCCCACCCGCCCC